GAUGAACGCUGGCGGCGUGCCUAAUACAUGCAAGUCGAACGCUGAAGGAAGGAGCUUGCUCUUUCCGUGUUAGUUGCGAACGGGUGAGUAACGCGUAGGUAACCUGCCUGGUAGCGGGGGAUAACUAUGGGAAACGAUAGCUAAUACCGCAUAACAGUAUAUGUUGCAUGAUAUCUACUUAAAAGGUGCAAUUGCACCACUACCAGAUGGACCUGCGUUUUAUUAGCUAGUUGGUAAGGUAACGGCUCACCAAGGCAACGAUACAUAGCCGACCUGAGAGGUGGAUCGCCAACACGGGAACGAGAAAACGGCCCAGACCCUUACGGAGGCAGGAGUAGGGAAAUCUUGGGCAAGGACGGAAGUCUGACCGGGCCAAGGCGGGUGAGGGAAUAAGGUUCUCGGAUCGUAAAGCUCCGUUGUAAGGGAAGAAAGAGUGGGGGAGUGGAAAGUUCACACUGUGACGGUAGCUUACCAGAAAGCGACGGCUAACUACGUG
rnacentral:rRNA from 1 species